AGAGUUUGAUCCUGGCUCAGGAUGAACGCUGGCGGCGUGCUUGACACAUGUAAGUCGUACGAUCUCUCGUCUUCGGAUUGAGAGAUAGUGGCGAACGGGUGAGUAACACGUUGGUGACCUGCCCCGAAGUGGGGGAUAACGAUGGGAAACUGUCGCUAAUACCGCAUAUGCUCCAGGGGGUUAGAGGCCCCUGGAGUAAAGCUCCGGCGCUUCGGGAGGGGCCUGCGGCCUAUCAGCUAGUUGGUAGGGUAAUGGCCUACCAAGGCUUAGACGGGUAGGGGGCGUGAGAGCGUGGCCCCCCACAAUGGAACUGAGACACGGUCCAUACUCCUACGGGAGGCAGCAGUGAGGAAUAUUGCACAAUGGGGGAAACCCUGAUGCAGCAACGCCGCGUGGGUGAUGAAGGCCUUCGGGUCGUAAAACCCUUUUCUGGAGGAAGAGUAAGGACGGUACUCCAGGAAUAAGUCCCGGCUAACUACGUGCCAGCAGCCGCGGUAAAACGUAGGGGGCGAGCGUUAUCCGGAUUUACUGGGCGUAAAGCGCGUGCAGGCGGUUCGGUAGGUUGGACGUGAAAGCUCCUGGCUUAACUGGGAGAGGCCGUUCAAUACCGCCGGGCUUGAGGUCGGAAGAGGGGAGUGGAAUUCCCGGUGUAGUGGUGGAAUGCGUAGAUAUCGGGAGGAACACCUGUGGCGAAAGCGGCUCCCUGGUCCGCACCUGACGCUCAGACGCGAAAGCGUGGGGAGCGAACGGGAUUAGAUACCCCGGUAGUCCACGCUGUAAACGAUGGAUGCUAGGUAUGGGUGGUAUUGACCCCAUCUGUGCCGUAGCUAACGCGUUAAGCAUCCCGCCUGGGGACUACGGCCGCAAGGCUAAACUCAAAUGAAUUGACGG
rnacentral:rRNA from 1 species